rnacentral:rRNA from 1 species
UAUUGCACAAUGGGCGGAAGCCUGAUGCAGCGACGCCGCGUGAGGGAUGAAGGCCUUCGGGUUGUAAACCUCUUUCAGCAGGGACGAAGCGUGAGUGACGGUACCUGCAGAAGAAGCACCGGCUAACUACGUGCCAGCAGCCGCGGUAAUACGUAGGGUGCGAGCGUUGUCCGGAAUUACUGGGCGUAAAGAGUUCGUAGGCGGUUUGUCGCGUCGUUUGUGAAAACCCGGGGCUCAACUUCGGGCUUGCAGGCGAUACGGGCAGACUUGAGUGUUUCAGGGGAGACUGGAAUUCCCGGUGUAGCGGUGAAAUGCGCAGAUAUCAGGAGGAACACUGGUGGCGAAGGCGGGUCUCUGGGAAACAACUGACGCUGAGGAACGAAAGCGUGGGUAGCAAACAG